UACUGCUGAUGAUGCCUUUAUUGACACUAUAUACAGCGAUACACUGAGACUGCAGGUACCCAAUCAUACAUCAUACACAUCAGUGUCAUGUGAAUUUAGUAACAUACAGAAUCACUGAGGGUUUAUCGAGGGUGUGGAUGGCUCUGGGGAUGACACUGUUGGUGCCUGCUUUAAUUUGAAUUGGGACUAAUUUAUUAUGUGAUGAACUUUUAACAAUGUAUUGUGUUUUAGGACCUCCUCAUAAUUAAGUAAACUGUUAAACCACCCUAGUAACUCUGGCUUAUCUGCCUCUGUGGAGGAGUAGGAGUGUUCAUGGCACUGGAAGGCGGGUGUUGCUAAUCCUCGUUCACCUACUGGCUUACUGCUAUUAAGUUUGAAUGUCUCUUUCCCUGUUUUCACACCUGUGCCUGUCAAUCAAGCAAAGAAGCGAGGUGCAGAGCGUGUACACAACCGCAACAGCACAGCUCUACUAUCCCUCACCUCUGUGGUUAAGCACAACUGAAAAUCAGCCUUAAGAAGCUGGAGCAGACCUGUCUGAAGGCUUCACGAUGUCUUAUGAGCGGAUUCUGUGCAUUGAAAAUCUGAGCGAUGUUCCAAAUCCGUGGAAAGGAUUCACUAUGAACCGCUGUUUAGUGGCGGCGCUGGUUGUGCUACUGGUGAGCUCAGGAGUUAACGAAGUGCACGAUGCUCUGGACUAUUUUGUUGAAGAGACAGGUGUGUGGUCUUUCUUUGGAAGUCUGCAGAGUGUUUCAAUAACACAGGU